AACCCGCCAUCGAAUGAGGCAAGACUACCCGCUGAACUUAAGCAUAUCACUAAGCGGAGGAGAAGAAACUAACCAGGAUGCCCCUAGUAAUGGCGAAUGAAGCGGGCUGAGCUCACGCUGCCAAUCUGGAGGCCUCGCGUAUGCAGCGCCCCCCGAAUUGUGGUCUAGAGAGGCGUUAUCGGCCGCGCCCGCUGCUCAAGUCCCUUGGAACAGGGUGUCGGAGAGGGUGAGAAUCCCGUACCGUGGCGGGUUGCGGCCUUACGAUGCGUCCUCGUCGAGUCGGGUUGCUUGGGAUUGCAGCUUGAAUUGGGUGGUAAAUUCCAUCUAAAGCUAAAUACUGGCGAGAGACCGAUAGCGAACAAGUACCGUGAGGGAAAGAUGCAAAGAACUUUGAAAAGAGAGUCAAAGAGUGCUUGAAAUCGGUAGGAGGAAACCCGGAUGGGCCCGGCUUCGGCGCGCCGACUCAGCCUGGGGUUCUCCCCAGGUGCACUUCUGCGCGCCGGGUCAGCCGCGCCUCGGCGCCGCGCCUCAACCCGGGAGCGGGGCUUUACGGCCAGCUCCCGUCCUGGCGCGGCCCGGGGCCCGGCUGACGGAACGGGCCCCUCCGACCCGUCUAGAAACACGGACCAAGGAGUCUGACACGUGUGCGAGUACCCGGGUGGCAAGCCCGCGUGCGGAAUGAAAGUGAAGGGCAUGCCCUGCCAACCGACCUUGACCUGCUGUGAGGGGUUUGAGUGGAGCACACCUGUCGGGACCCGAAAGAUGGUGAACUAUGCCUGGGUAGGGUGAAGCCAGAGGAAACUCUGGUGGAGGCUCGUAGCGAUACUGACGUGCAAAUCGUUCGUCGAAUCUGGGUAUAGGGGCGAAAGACUAAUCGAACCAUCUAGUAGCUGGUUCCCUCCGAAGUUUCCCUCAGGAUAGCUUGAACGCAACGGUUUUGUCAGGUAAAGCGAAUGAUUAGAGGCCUGUGGGCUGAAACAGCUUGCACCUAUUCUCAAACUUUAAAUGGGCAAGAGGCCCGGGAUGCUUGAGUGAUCCCGGGCGGCGAACGGCGCGUUCAAAGUGGGCCAUUUUUGGUAAGCAGAACUGGCGAUGCGGGAUGAACCGAACGCCGCGCUAAGGUACCCAAGUGUCCGCUCAUCAGAUACCACAAAAGGCGUUGGUACCUCCAGACAGCAGGACGGUGGCCAUGGAAGUCGGAACCCGCUAAGGAGUGUGUAACAACUCACCUGCCGAAGGUACUAGCCCUGAAAAUGGAUGGCGCUCAAGCGGACCACCGAUGCGCGGCCGCCGGCGCGAGCGCGAGGCGCCGGCGAGUAGGAGGGCGCGGGGCUCGCGGCGCAGCCUUGGGCGCGAGCCUGGGUGAAGCGGGCCCCGGUGCAGAUCUUGGUGGUAGUAGCAAAUAUUCAAAUGAGAACUUUGAAGACUGAAGUGGAGAAAGGUUCCGUGUGAACAGCAGUUGGACACGGGUGAGCCGACCCUAAGAGACAGGAAAACUCCGCCGAACGCGGCUGGUUCUGUCAGCCCGUCCGUCGAAAGGGAAUCGGGUUAAUAUUCCCGAGCCAGCGCGUGGAUGGUGGGCGGCGACGCGAACGAACCCGGAGACGCCGGCGGGAGCCCUGGGAAGAGUUCUCUUUUCUUCUUAACUGCCUCCUGCCCUGGAAUCGGUUUAGCCGGAGCGAGGGCUACACGGCAGGCAAAGCACCCUAAGUCUUGGGGUGUCCGGCGCGCUCCCGACGGCCCGUGAAAAUCCGGGGGAGCGGUUCGUUCUCACGCCUGGUCGUACUCAUAACCGCAUCAGGUCUCCAAGGUGAACAGCCUCUAGUCGAUAGAGCAAUGUAGGUAAGGGAAGUCGGCAAAAUGGUUCCGCAACCUCGGGAGAAGGAAUGGCUCUGAAGGCUGGGCGCAGGGGUCCUAGGCUCGAGGCCGGCUGGCUGCGCGGGGACUACGGCCUCACGGCUGCGGAUCCCGCGCGGCCGUCCGGCGGACGGCCUAGGAGCGCUCCGGCUCUCCCUGCGCGACGAACAGCCGCUUCAGAACUGGCGCGGACAAGGGGAAUCCGACUGUUUAAUUAAAACAAAGCAUUGCGAUGGCCCGCGAGGGUGCUGACGCAAUGUGAUUUCUGCCCAGUGCUCUGAAUGUCAAAGUGAAGAAAUUCAACCAAGCGCGGGUAAACGGCGGGAGUAACUAUGACUCUCUUAAGGUAGCCAAAUGCCUCGUCAUCCAAUUAGUGACGCGCAUGAAUGGAUUCGUGAGAUUCCCACUGUCCCUAUCUACUGUCUAGCGAAACCACAGCCAAGGGAACGGGCUUGGAAGAAUCAGCGGGGAAAGAAGACCCUGUUGAGCUUGACUCUAGUCUGUUACUGUGGAACGACUUGAUGGGUGUAGAAUAUGCGGGAGGGGCAACCCGACAGUGAAAUACCGCAACCGUCAACGUUGUUUUACUUACUCGGUGGCGCGGAGGGAGGCUCGCCUCACUUCUGGAUCCAAGCCGCUUCGUGCGCGCGAUCCGCGUCGGGGACACUAACAGGUGGGGAGUUUGGCUGGGGCGGCACGUCUGUUAAAAAAUAACGCAGGCGCCCGAUUUUGAGCUCAAUGAGAACAGAAAUCUCAUGUGGACCGAAAGGGGAAAAGCUCGGUUGAUUUUGAUUUUCAGUACGAAUACAAACCGCGAAAGCGUGGCCUAUCGAUCCUCUCGUCUUUGGGAAUUUCAAGCUAGAGGUGUCAGAAAAGUUACCACAGGGAUAACUGGCUUGUGGCUGCCAAGCGUUCAUAGCGACGUAGCUUUUUGAUCCUUCGAUGUCGGCUCUUCCUAUCACUGCCUCGCAGCGGGGGCCAAAUGCAGGAUUGUUCACCCACCAACAGGGAACGUGAGCUGGGUUUAGACCGUCGUGAGACAGGUUAGUUUUACCCUACUGCUGUCUGUUUUUCUACGGUAAUUUGGUUCAGUACGAGAGGAACCACCAAUUCGCAUCAUCGGUAUAGCCGCCGCCGGAAACGGCGAUGCGGCGAAGCUGCCAUGCGCCGGAUUAUAACUGAACGCCUCUAAGUUAGAAUCCAUGCCGGAAGGAAAGCCACCUACCGGCCCGGGGACGCCACGAGCAACGGUAGCACUGCCUGAGCCGCGAGCGACCACAAUUCACGGACCCGGGCCGACGAAUCCCUUGCAGACGACUUGAAUAAGGAACGGGGUAUUGUACGCGGCAGAGUGGCCUUGUUGCCACGAUCCGCUGAG
rnacentral:rRNA from 1 species